rnacentral:tRNA from 1 species
GGGCGUGUGGUCUAGUGGUAUGAUUCUCGCUUUGGGUGGGUUCAAUUCCCAGCUCGCCCCAUUUACUUUUCA